rnacentral:rRNA from 1 species
GUGCCAGCCGCCGCGGUAAUACGUAGGUGGCAAGCGUUGUCCGGAAUUAUUGGGCGUAAAGCGCGCGCAGGCGGUCUUUUAAGUCUGAUGUGAAAUAUCGGGGCUCAACCCCGAGGGGUCAUUGGAAACUGGGAGACUUGAGUACAGAAGAGGAGAGUGGAAUUCCACGUGUAGCGGUGAAAUGCGUAGAUAUGUGGAGGAACACCAGUGGCGAAGGCGACUCUCUGGUCUGUAACUGACGCUGAGGCGCGAAAGCGUGGGAGCGAAACAGGAUUAGAUACCCUGGUAGUCCACGCCGU